ensembl:lncRNA
CAGGGAUCUAGGAGUUUUCUUCUGAAAAAGAGGAAGUAUGUUUUAUUUUAUUAAUUUAUUUCUUGAAGUGAUCAUAAUCUCAAGAUUUCAUUGUCUUCAAGAUGAGACAGAAGAUGAAGCUUGGUACUGGGUCACAUGGCACUGCCCCUUCUUCCUUCCUCCCUGUGCGAGUCUCUUAAAUAAGCCAGCACCCUUGUCACUGCCUGGAUGGUGAGCUCAGUGAGUGCAUGCAUCAGCUCAAGCUUCUUGGUACUUUAGCCUUUUUCUGGAAAAUCAGCUUAGUCUUCCCACCAUUGCUGCUCUGCUUUCUGUUGAAAAGGCACAUUCCCUGGCCACACAGAGAAUCCCUGCCUUUCUUGUACUGUGUCAUUUGGUGGGGUUGGUGCUUGAAACAUUUCUUCCAGGAAGCGUGGCUGGUUUUAGAAAUGUCCACCAUGUUUGCAGAAGCACCUCUGGCCUGGAAAAGCAAAGCUCCUCAUUUAAAGCCAGAUACCCACAAAGAUGCUCCUGACUUGACACAGAUAUUUCAGAUUCUGCUCAUUCCUCACUGUUAAGAAGGCAGAGGAUAAUCUACUUCAGCAAGAUCUAAGGAACAAGGCAGUGGAAGGAAUUUGGAUAUAAACUUUCCAUCCCCUAAAGAAGUCUCAUGCUUGUUUCUUGGCCCAUGCAAGGAAUGCUUUCUCUUUAUUUACUUUCAUUUACUUAAAAUCUGACAUGUAGCAUGGUGGCUGGUAUGUAACAAGUAAAUGCUCAAUAAAUAUUGGUCAGUUCAAAGAAUUAAAUAAUAAUGUUUAGAGGCAGAGCAUUGGUUAUCUAGAAAAAUCUGCUUACAUCUUUACAUAAUUAUGACAAAUGAAAUGAUUUGGGGGAAGAAAAGAUUAAUAUGGGCCAACUCCAUAGCUAAAGGACACCGAUGGGAGCCAUGUGUUAAGUACACAGUCAGGAACUGAAGAGAAGCUUCACAGACUGGGUAUGAGUUCAGCAUGGUUUUGAUGAAAUCCAUAGAAAUUCUGUGGAAAGGAGUGAAGAUGUUCCUGGCCCAUGGAUUAGCUCAUGCCAAGAUCUGAUGUCUAAAGAGAGGUGAGAGGGGAAGGCAGUGGUGUGGUUGGUGGGAGCAGAUGGUGUGGGUCUGAGUGACUGUCCUCAUUUCUCUCUCUCAUCCAGCUUUCCAGGCAGUCUUAGAGGAGAGGAUACUUAUUAUAGGAACAACAUGGCUGAGAAACCUACCUAACAUUGUAAGGGGGCAGAGUGGCCACACACAAGGAAGAGGAAGACUUCUACUCUCUCUGUGGUUAACUGAGGCAUCCUCCCUACGUUUCUCCUAUUGACACCCCUGCCCCCCAAAACUGGGGAUUGAACCCAGGGUCUUUGCACUGAGCUACAUUCCCAGCUCUUAAAAAUUUUUUUUUAACUUGAGACAGUUUCUCACAAAGUCAUGAAGUUACUGAGGCUGAUCUCAUACUUUCUACUCCCUAGUUGAUCUACUCUUUGUUCUGGAUACUUGUCUCUGUGGAUCCCCUGCACUGUCCCUUUUCUCUAAGCUAUGUCAUUGCUUUCUCAGCAGACUGCUUUGGCAAUAUCCCAUACCUUCCCUUUCAGUCCUACACCAGUAAUGAGCAAAUCUGUCUGCAUUCCAGACUUCUCUCCUGAGCCCUAGCUCUUACUUUCAGGAACUUGAUAGAUGCAUCUGCUAGAAUGUGGAUCUAGAAUGUCCUCCAAGGGCCCUUGUGUUAAAAGGUUGGCCCUUAGCUUGGUGCUGCUGGAGGGUGGUGGAAGCCUUACAAGGUGGUGCUUGAUGGGAAGUUUCAGAUUGCUGAACAUGUGCCCUUGAAGGGGAUUGUGGGACUGUAGUCUCCCUCUCCACCUCUCUCUCUCUCUCCUGGCUGCCAUGAAGUGAGCAGCUUGCUCUACCGUGUACUUCCUGCCAUGACAUUUUUGCCUUGCCACAGGCCCCCAAACAAUGAGUCCAACAUACCAUGGACUUAAACCUCCAAAACUAUGAGCCAAAAUAAACCUUUCCUCUUAUCAGGUACUUGUUACAGUAACAGAAAACUAACAUGAUAUCCUGCUAGGUAUCUUUCAGGCAACUUUAACACAACAUGCUCCAAGUUAAAUUCAUUUUUUUCUCCCCAAAUCUGCUCCUCUUUUGGUUAUGAUCUUGCUUAUAGUCCUAUUAUUUAAGCAGAGCAUCUGCUUGCCUUUGACUGCUUCUCAUCCACCUCCCAUGGUUACUCAGUCACUAUGCCUUGACCAUUUUACAUGUGUGUUGAAUGUCUUUACUUUUCAUUACAUCUGUGCCAAUUUUGUCUCUUAACCUCUUCCUCUUGGACCAGUGUGUUACCUCUUAACUGUUAGGCCCUUCUGCUUUUAAUCAGAAUUUCCCUCUCCUCCUUGAACCUAUCUCCUUAUUUACUGCCAGGAUGGUUGUUUUUAGAAAAAAAAAUUGGAUCAUGUCACUGUUGGUGACAAAGCAUGAGAGCUUCCUUCUUGCCUGGGGACCAGUAAGUAUCUUCCACGUUCCGGCACCACCAGGAUCCAGUUUCUACUUUCACAGUUGCUGAUUUUCAGCUUGGACCUUUCCCUCCUGCCUAGCCCACAACCCCCC